rnacentral:misc_RNA from 1 species
UCCGGCUUGACGCCGGCAGUCCCCCGAGAGUCCUCAGCAUUACCUGUUAGCAACACGGGGCAAGGGUUGCGCUCGUUGCGGGACUUAACCCAACAUCUCACGACACGAGCUGACGACAGCCAUGCAGCACCUGUCCUGGUGUCCCGAAGGAGGGCCCUGCUUUCACAGGGCUUUCACCAGGAUGUCAAGUCCAGGUAAGGUUCUUCGCGUUGCUUCGAAUUAAGCCACAUGCUCCGCCGCUUGUGCGGGUCCCCGUCAAUUCCUUUGAGUUUUAGCCUUGCGGCCGUACUCCCCAGGCGGGGCACUUAACGCGUUAGCUGCGGCACCGAAGGGGUCGCUCCCCCCAGCACCUAGUGCCCAUCGUUUACGGCGUGGACUAC